rnacentral:rRNA from 1 species
GAUGAACGCUAGCGGCAGGCCUAACACAUGCAAGUCGAGGGGUAGCAGGAUUAAGCUUGCUUAAUUGCUGACGACCGGCGCACGGGUGCGUAACGCGUAUGCAACCUACCUUAUACUGGGGUAUAGCCCGGAGAAAUUCGGAUUAAUCCCCCAUAGUACUAAUGAAUCGCAUGGUUUAUUAGUUAAAGCAUUGCGGUAUAAGAUGGGCAUGCGUCCUAUUAGCUAGAUGGUGAGGUAACGGCUCACCAUGGCUACGAUAGGUAGGGGGCCUGAGAGGGUGGUCCCCCACACUGGUACUGAGACACGGACCAGACUCCUACGGGAGGCAGCAGUGAGGAAUAUUGGACAAUGGGCGGAAGCCUGAUCCAGCCAUGCCGCGUGCAGGAAGACGGCCCUAUGGGUUGUAAACUGCUUUUGUACGGGAAGAAACACCCCCUCGUGAGGGGGCUUGACGGUACCGUAAGAAUAAGGAUCGGCUAACUCCGUGCCAGCAGCCGCCGUAA